AGACCGAUAGCGAACAAGUACCGUGAGGGAAAGAUGAAAAGAACUUUGAAAAGAGAGUUAAAGAGUACCUGAAACUGCUGAAAGGGAACCGAAUCGUUUCCAGUGUCUAUAAUCCGUGGUAUAUUUCAUUGGCGAGUGUGUGCGUGCGUGUGCUGUGGCAGCGGCUUUUUAGGCUGCGCUCGGCGUGUGUGCUGUGUGUGCUUGCUGGUGCCCUGUACUGCGGUGGGACGUCAAGGUCAGUUCGUAUGCUGCGGGAAAUGGCUGCCGAGGAGGUAGGGCUUACGCUUGCGUUUGUCUGUUAUAUCUUGGUGGACGAGUAGUCGCGGUUGGGACUGAGGUGCCUACAACGUGCUUUUGAGUGGGUUUGUGUCUCCGUGUGCGCCGUGUGCGGAUAGCUUGCUAUGCGUGUGUGGUUGUGUGUGGAUUGAUGCGGGCUUUAACUUGGUUGCCGUUCGGGACGUUGACGAAAUGGAGCGAUUCGACCCGUCUUGAAACACGGACCAAG
rnacentral:rRNA from 1 species